rnacentral:rRNA from 1 species
GUAGUUAGCCGGGGCUUCCUCCUUGGCUACCGUCACUUUCUUCGUUGCCAAGGACAGAGGUUUACAACCCGAAAGCCUUCUUCCCUCACGCGGCGUUGCUGGGUCAGGCUUGCGCCCAUUGCCCAAUAUUCCCCACUGCUGCCUCCCGCAGGAGUCUGGACCGUAUCUCAGUUCCAGUGUGGCCGAUCAGCCUCUCAGCUCGGCUACCCAUCGUCGACUUGGUGGGCCGUUACCCCGCCAACUAUCUAAUCGGACGCGAGCUCACCCCAGACCGGAUUGCUCCUUUUACCUCAAAAUCAUGUGAUCUCGUGGUCUUAUGCGGUAUUAGCAGAUGUUUCCAUCUGUUAUCCCCCUGUCUGGGACAGAUUGCUCACGCGUUACUCACCCGUCCGCCGCUCGAACAUCACCCGAAAGCAAUGUCCUCGCUCGACUUGCAUGUGUUAGGCACGCCGCCAGCGUUCGUCCUGAGCAGANACAACUACUGA